rnacentral:rRNA from 1 species
CCCUUAGACGUUCUGGGCCGCACGCGCGCUACACUGACCAGUGCAACAAGCAUCCGUCCUUGGCCGACAGGCCCGGGCAAUCUUUGAACGCUAGUCGUGAUGGGGAUAGACUUUUGCAAUUUUUGGUCUUCAACGAGGAAUUCCUAGUAAACGCAAGUCAUCAACUUGCAUUGAUUACGUCCCUGCCCUUUGUACACACCGCCCGUCGCUCCUACCGAUUGAGUGGUCCGGUGAGGCUUUGGGAUCUGAGCGGAAAGAGCGUUUCGCUGUUUCUGCCCGGAAAACUCAGUCGAACCUUAUCAUUUAGAGGAAGGAGAAGUCGUAACA